CAGAGUAGAUCGAGAGCGUUAAGUGCCAUAGGAUGGGAAGUAGCCUGUGGACGAAGAGCACAGACGUGCCGCGGUUCUCGUUCGCAUUCCGCUGC
rnacentral:ncRNA from 1 species